UUGGCACCUUCGAAGAUCCUCAAACCUUUUCCUCCGUGGUUUGAUGAUUCAAAGCGGUGCCUAGAGCAAAACUUCCCACUUCGCUGUGCAGUCCUUCCUAGUCGCAGCAUUUCUGGACGUUAUGGGUUGGAUGGUUUCGUUCCUUGUUU
rnacentral:snoRNA from 1 species